rnacentral:rRNA from 1 species
UACUUAAGCAUAUCAAUAAGCGGAGGAAAAGAAACCAACAGGGAUUGCCUUAGUAACGGCGAGUGAAGCGGCAAUAGCUCAAAUUUGAAAUCUGGCACUUGUGUCCGAGUUGUAAUUUGCAGAAGAUGAUUUUGGUUAGGUACCUUCCGAGUUCCUUGGAACAGGACGCCUUAGAGGGUGAGAGCCCCGUACGGUUGGAUGCCGAGCCUUUGUAAAUCUCUUUCGACGAGUCGAGUAGUUUGGGAAUGCUGCUCUAAAUGGGAGGUAAAUUUCUUCUAAAGCUAAAUACUGGCCAGAGACCGAUAGCGCACAAGUAGAGUGAUCGAAAGAUGAAAAGCACUUUGAAAAGAGGGUUAAAUAGCACGUGAAAUUGUUGAAAGGGAAGGAUUUAUGACCAGACUUUUUCUAGGAGGAUCAUCCGGUGUUCUCACCGGUGCACUUCUUCUAGUCUAGGCCAGCAUCGACUUUCGGCGGCGGAUAAAAGCUUCAGGAAUGUGACUCCCUACGGGGAGUGUUAUAGCCUGUUGUAUAAUACGCUGCUGGGGGUCGAGGUACGCGCUUCUGCAAGGAUGCUGGCGUAAUGGUUAUCAAUCACCCGUCUUGAAACACGGACCAAGGAGUCGAACAUUUGUGCAAGUGUUUGGGUGUUAAACCCUCACGCGUAAUGAAAGUGAACGGAGGUGAGAGCCCUUACGGGUGCAUCAUCGACCGAUCCUGAUGUUUUCGGAUGGAUUUGAGUAAGAGCAUAACUGUUCGGACCCGAAAGAUGGUGAACUAUGCGUGGAUAGGGUGAAGCCAGAGGAAACUCUGGUGGAGGCUCGCAGCGGUUCUGACGUGCAAAUCGAUCGUCAAAUCUGCGCAUGGGGCGAAAGACUAAUCGA